rnacentral:rRNA from 1 species
ACGAACGCUGGCGGCGUGCUUAACACAUGCAAGUCGAACGGAAAGGCCCUGCUUUUGUGGGGUGCUCGAGUGGCGAACGGGUGAGUAACACGUGAGUAACCUGCCCUUGACUUUGGGAUAACUUCAGGAAACUGGGGCUAAUACCGGAUAGGAGCUCCUGCUGCAUGGUGGAGGUUGGAAAGUUUCGGCGGUUGGGGAUGGACUCGCGGCUUAUCAGCUUGUUGGUGGGGUGGUGGCUUACCAAGGCUUUGACGGGUAGCCGGCCUGAGAGGGUGACCGGCCACAUUGGGACUGAGAUACGGCCCAGACUCCUACGGGAGGCAGCAGUGGGGAAUAUUGCACAAUGGGCGGAAGCCUGAUGCAGCAACGCCGCGUGCGGGAUGACGGCCUUCGGGUUGUAAACCGCUUUCGCCUGUGACGAAGCGUGAGUGACGGUAAUGGGUAAAGAAGCACCGGCCAACUACGUG